UACGUAGGGUCCAAGCGUUGUCCGGAAUUAUUGGGCGUAAAGAGCUCGUAGGCGGCUUGUCGCGUCGUCCGUGAAAACCUGGGGCUCAACCCCAGGCUUGCGGUCGAUACGGGCAGGCUCGAGUUCGGUAGGGGAGACUGGAAUUCCUGGUGUAGCGGUGAAAUGCGCAGAUAUCAGGAGGAACACCGGUGGCGAAGGCGGGUCUCUGGGCCGAUACUGACGCUGAGGAGCGAAAGCGUGGGGAGCGAACAGG
rnacentral:rRNA from 1 species